rnacentral:rRNA from 1 species
UACAGAGGGUGCAAGCGUUGUUCGGAAUUAUUGGGCGUAAAGGGCGCGUAGGCGGUUCGGCAAGUCUCUAGUGAAAUCUCUGGGCUCAACUCAGAGUCUGCUGGGGGAAAACUGCCGGGGCUUGAGUGUGGGGAGAGGAGAGUGGAAUUCCCGGUGUAGCGGUGAAAUGCGUAGAUAUCGGGGAGGAACACCUGUGGCGAAAAGCGGCUCUCUGGACCACAACUGACGCUGA